UACAAUUUGUUUUUUUUUAUAGUAUCGAACGUUCCUUUUAUUUAUAUUAUUGCUGCACCGUCAUCUUUGGAGAAUUUAACAAUUUUACCGAAAAAUCAAUACACGUAUUCAUUCUUUGUAUUCUUCAGUACAAAUCCAGAAAUUAUUUCUCUAAUGGAAUAUGUAGAAAAAAACAAUUUCAAAAUUACAAUGGUCACCUUUUCCUGGAAAUGAGAAAAAAGUUAGGUAUAUUCUAUAUUUUCACCACUCAAAACAUACCCAUUCAUUGUGUGAAUAUAUGCAGUAUUCUACAGAUACUACUACGUGUGAAGAAACAACGCAAACUACUCAACGUUUUAAAAAAAAUGAUUUAGAAUUUCAAGGGGAGGAUACAAUAUACGUUAGUAUUUUUGUGCAAACGAAAAAAUUUUUGA